rnacentral:rRNA from 1 species
CACGUAGGGGGCGAGCGUUGUCCGGAUUUAUUGGGCGUAAAGAGCUCGUAGGCGGUUUGGCAAGUCGGGUGUGAAAUUUCGAGGCUCAACCUCGAAACGCCACUCGAUACUGCCAUGACUGGAGUCCGGUAGAGGAGUGCGGAAUUCCUGGUGUAGCGGUGAAAUGCGCAGACAUCAGGAGGAACACCAACGGCGAAGGCAGCACUCUGGGCCGGUACUGACGCUGAGGAGCGAAAGCGUGGGGAGCAAACAGG